rnacentral:misc_RNA from 1 species
AAGUCGUAACAAGGUUUCCGUAGGUGAACCUGCGGAAGGAUCAUUCAAAGACUAGGCCGAUGGUGUAUUUUUCCACCGGUCUUUCUACCAUUAACCUGUGUUGUUGUGGUGCGGUUUGGUUUUCGGAGGGGUGUGGGUAAUACUAUGCCCCCCCCUGAGAACCGGCUGCAUUCAACCCCCAAAUCAUUGCCAAACCCAACCAUAACUCACCGAGACUGAUCAAAGCUUGGGAUGCCUGACAGGUGGGUACUUACCUACCAGUCAGUCCUCCUUCGAUUUAUCGAAAACAGUAACACAACUGUUGGCAACGGAUCACUCGGCUCUCGU